rnacentral:misc_RNA from 1 species
AACGCACAUUGCGCCCGCCAGUAUUCUGGCGGGCAUGCCUGUUCGAGCGUCAUUUCAACCCUCAAGCCUGGCUUGGUGUUGGGGCAUUGCGGCUUGCCGCAAGUCCUGAAAAACAGUGGCGGGCUCGCUAUAACUCCGAGCGUAGUAACUUAUCUCGUUCUGGAAGAGUGGCGGGUGCCGGCCGUUAAACCCCCUAUUUUUACAAGGUUGACCUCGGAUCAGGUAGGAAUACCCGCUGAACUUAA